rnacentral:rRNA from 1 species
UUGACCUCGGAUCAGGUAGGGAUACCCGCUGAACUUAAGCAUAUCAAUAAGCGGAGGAAAAGAAACCAACAGGGAUUGCCUCAGUAACGGCGAGUGAAGCGGCAACAGCUCAAAUUUGAAAUCUGGCUCCUUCGGGGUCCGAAUUGUAAUUUGUAGAGAGUGCUUCGGGCGAGACCUCGGUCUAAGUCCAUUGGAACAUGGUGUCAUAGAGGGUGAGAAUCCCGUAUGCGACCGUGGCUCGAGCCCAUGUGAAGCCUCUUCGACGAGUCGAGUUGUUUGGGAAUGCAGCUCAAAAUGGGUGGUAAAUUUCAUCUAAAGCUAAAUACUGGCUGGAGACCGAUAGCGCACAAGUAGAGUGAUCGAAAGAUGAAAAGCACUUUGGAAAGAGAGUCAAACAGUACGUGAAAUUGUUGAAAGGGAAGCGCUUGCAACCAGACCUGCCCGUAGGCGAUCCGCCGCUGUUCUCAGCGGUGUACUCGCUCUGCGAUCAGGCCAGCAUCGGUUUCGGCGGUCGGAUAAAGGCCUUGGGAAUGUAGCUUCCCCUCGGGGGAGUCUUAUAGCCCUCGGUGUAAUGCGGCCAGCUGGGACCGAGGACCGCGCUUCGGCUAGGAUGCUGGCGUAAUGGUUGUAAGCGACCCGUCUUGAAACACGGACCAAGGAGUCUAACAUCUAUGCGAGUGUUUGGGUGUCAAACCCAUACGCGAAAUGAAAGUGAACGGAGGUGAGAACCCUUAAGGGCGCAUCAUCGACCGAUCCAGAUGUCUUCGGAUGGAUUUGAGUAUGAGCAUAGCUGUUGGGACCCGAAAGAUGGUGAACUAUGCCUGAAUAGGGUGAAGCCAGAGGAAACUCUGGUGGAGGCUCGCAGCGGUUCUGACGUGCAAAUCGAUCGUCG